CGGUGGCCUUAAAGAAGACCCUGAAGCACACAUCCUAGAGAUUAUUUUGAACAGAAUGGGAAAACUGAAGUGACUGAAAUCAUGGCUGACCGAGGUAGUGGCAAGAAGAGAAUUUUGCUUUUGUAACAUUUAAUGAUCAUGACUCUGUAGACAAGAUUGUCAUUCAAAAAUACCAUACUGUGAAUGGCCACACUGGGAAGUGAGGAGAGCCCUAUUUAAGCAGGAGAUGGCUGGUGCUUCAGCCAGCCAGAGAGGUCAAAGUGGUCCUGGAAACUUUGGUGGUGGUUGUGGUGGGAAUGACAACUCUGGUCGUGGGGGAAACUUCAGUGGGCGAGGUGGCUUUGGUGGCAGGCGAGGUGGCUUUGGUGGCAGGCGAGGUGGUGGUGGACGUGGUGGCAGUGUGGAUGGCUGUAACGGAUUUGGUAAUGAUGGAAGCAAUUUUGGAGGUGGCGGAAGCUAUAAUGAUUUUGGCAAUUACAACAAUCAAUCUUCAAAUUUUGGACCCCUGCAAGGAGGGAAGAGCGUCGGUAGGG